CUAGUAACUGCGAGUGAAGCGGGAAAAGCUCAAAUUUAAAAUCUGGCGGUCUUUGGCCGUCCGAGUUGUAGUCUGGAGAAGCGUCUUCCGCGUUGGACCGUGUACAAGUCUCUUGGAACAGAGCGUCAUAGAGGGUGAGAAUCCCGUCUUUGACACGGACUACCAAUGCUUUGUGAUGCGCUCUCAAAGAGUCGCGUUGUUUGGGAAUGCAGCGCAAAAUGGGAGGUGAAUUCCUUCUAAAGCUAAAUAUUGGCGAGAGACCGAUAGCGAACAAGUACCGUGAGGGAAAGAUGAAAAGCACUUUGGAAAGAGAGUUAAACAGUACGUGAAAUUGCUGAAAGGGAAACGCUUGAAGUCAGUCGCGUCGUCCGGAACUCAGCCUUGCUUCGGCUUGGUGCACUUUCCGGUUGACGGGCCAGCAUCGAUUUUGACCGCUGGAAAAGGGCUGGAGGAAUGUGGCACCUUCGGGUGUGUUAUAGCCUUCAGUCGCAUACAGCGGUUGGGAUCGAGGAACGCAGCACGCCUUAUGGCUGGGGUUCGCCCACAUUCGUGCUUAGGAUGCUGGCAUAAUGGCUUUAAACGACCCGUCUUGAAACACGGACCAAGGAGUCUAACAUGCCUGCGAGUGUUUGGGUGGAAAACCCGAGCGCGUAAUGAAAGUGAAAGUUGA
rnacentral:rRNA from 1 species